rnacentral:rRNA from 1 species
UGACAGCUCGAGCAGGUGCGAAAGCAGGUCUUAGUGAUCCGGUGGUUCUGAAUGGAAGGGCCAUCGCUCAACGGAUAAAAGGUACUCCGGGGAUAACAGGCUGAUACCGCCCAAGAGUUCAUAUCGACGGCGGUGUUUGGCACCUCGAUGUCGGCUCAUCACAUCCUGGGGCUGAAGUAGGUCCCAAGGGUAUGGCUGUUCGCCAUUUAAAGUGGUACGCGAGCUGGGUUUAGAACGUCGUGAGACAGUUCGGUCCCUAUCUGCCGUGGGCGUUGGAAGAUUGAGAGGGGUUGCUCCUAGUACGAGAGGACCGGAGUGAACGCACCACUGGUGUACGGGUUGUGAUGCCAAUUGCAUUGCCCGGUAGCUAAGUGCGGAAGAGAUAACCGCUGAAAGCAUCUAAGCGGGAAACUUGCCUCGAGAUGAGUCUUCCCUGGACACUAGAUGUCCCUGAAGGGCCGUUGAAGACGACGACGUAGAUAGGCUGGGUGUGUAAGCGUAGCGAUACGUUGAGCUAACCAGUACUAAUGACCCGAGAGGCUUAACCUUACAACACCGAAGGUGUUU